CAGCAGCCGCGGUAAUACGUAGGGUGCAAGCGUUAAUCGGAAUUACUGGGCGUAAAGCGUGCGCAGGCGGUUAUAUAAGUCAGAUGUGAAAUCCCCGGGCUCAACCUGGGAACUGCAUUUGAGACUGUAUGGCUAGAGUGUGUCAGAGGGGGGUAGAAUUCCACGUGUAGCAGUGAAAUGCGUAGAUAUGUGGAGGAAUAUCGGUGGCGAAGGUAGCCCCCUGGGAUAACACUGACGCUCAUGCACGAAAGCGUGGGGAGCGAACAGGAUUAGAUACCCGUGUAGUCCCUGUCUCUUAUAA
rnacentral:rRNA from 1 species